rnacentral:rRNA from 1 species
GGGCCAGACUCCUACGGGAGGCAGCAGUGGGGAAUAUUGCACAAUGGGGGAAACCCUGAUGCAGCAACGCCGCGUGAGUGAAGAAGUCAUUCGUGAUGUAAAGCUCUAUCAGCAGGGAAGAAAAUGACGGUACCUGACUAAGAAGCCCCGGCUAACUACGUGCCAGCAGCCGCGGUAAUACGUAGGGGGCAAGCGUUAUCCGGAUUCACUGGGUGUAAAGGGAGCGUAGACGGCCAUGCAAGCCUGGAGUGAAAGCCCGGGGCCCAACCCCGGGACUGCUCUGGGAACUGUGCGGCUGGAGUGCGGGAGGGGCAGGCGGAAUUCCUGGUGUAGCGGUGAAAUGCGUAGAUAUCAGGAGGAACACCGGCGGCGAAGGCGGCCUGCUGGACCGCGACUGACGUUGAGGCUCGAAAGCGUGGGGAGCAAACAGGAUUAGAUACCCUCGUA